rnacentral:rRNA from 1 species
UACGUAGGGUGCGAGCGUUGUCCGGAAUUAUUGGGCGUAAAGAGCUUGUAGGUGGUUUGUCGCGUCUGCUGUGAAAAUCCGAGGCUCAACCUCGGACUUGCAGUGGGUACGGGCAGACUAGAGUGCGGUAGGGGAGAUUGGAAUUCCUGGUGUAGCGGUGGAAUGCGCAGAUAGUCAGGAGGAACACCAGAUGGCGAAGGCAGAUCUCUGGGCCGUAACUGACGCUGAGGAGCGAAAGCAUGGGGAGCGA